rnacentral:rRNA from 1 species
GACAGAGGAUGCAAGCGUUAUCCGGAAUGAUUGGGCGUAAAGCGUCCGCAGGUGGCGAUGUAAGUCUGCUGUUAAAGAGUGAGGCUCAACCUCAUAAGAGCAGUGGAAACUACAUAGCUAGAGUACGUUCGGGGCAGAGGGAAUUCCUGGUGUAGCGGUGAAAUGCGUAGAGAUCAGGAAGAACACCAGUGGCGAAGGCGCUCUGCUAGGCCGUAACUGACACUGAGGGACGAAAGCUAGGGGAGCGAAUGGG